rnacentral:sRNA from 1 species
AGUUCGUAAACGAUUUAAAUGACUAAUCGGUUUAUAAUUGAAUUGGUGGAUGUAUUUGAAUCAAUAUUUAUAAAAUUUUAAAAUAUUAUUAAUAUGCUGUUUUAGUAAGGGUUAAAACUUCAGUUUUUUAACAAUUGUCUCAUAGAUUCGUGGUAUAGCGUUACUUAAUAACAAUUAAUAACAAUUAUAAACUGUAAAAUAUAAAUAUUUUAUAAAAAUAAAAUUUACAAAUUUUAAUAUAUAUUACUUUUAAAAAAUAAAUUGUCCUGUAAUAUACCGUGGAUUAAAAUCUAGUCUUUAAGUAACUCUGCCUAACUUAUAAGCAAAGAAGAGACAUUUCUACUGGCUUGAAUCCAUCACAAAAUGACCACAAUAUUUAUUAUGAAGUUCAAAACAUUGUAUUGGGAUUAUCCACGUCGAU